UUCCUUCCGAUCAACGAGGUACAUCCUUGUUGACCGGAAGGAACCCCUUCCGGUCAACGAGGGUACACAUCGACCUCUUUGACCGGAAGGGGUUCCUUCCGGUCAGCGAGGAUGUACCUCGUUGAUCGGAAGGAA
rnacentral:miRNA from 1 species